GUACACGCUGUGACUAGCAUAUCAAUAAGCGGAGGAAAAGAAACUAACAAGGAUUCCCCUAGUAACGGCGAGUGAAGCGGGAAGAGCUCAAAUUUGAAAUCUUAAAGGGUUUCCCUUUACGAAUUGUAGCUUAAAGAAGUGUUUUCUGUUGAGGUUUUGGUAAAAGUUCUUUGGAAUAGGACAUCAUAGAGGGUGAGAAUCCCGUAUUUGACCUUUACUUUCAACUUUGUGAUACACUUUCAAAGAGUCGGAUUGUUUGGGAAUGCAGUCCAAAAUGGGUGGUAAAUUUCAUCUAAAGCUAAAUAUUGGCGAGAGACCGAUAGCGAACAAGUACCGUGAGGGAAAGAUGAAAAGAACUUUGAAAAGAGAGUUAAACAGUACGUGAAAUUGUCAAAAGGGAAGCGUUUGACACCAGUGUUGUUUUUCUGAAAAUCAAUUAAAGAACUGUUUAUGCUAAGCUGUUUAGACUUUAUCAGCUAACUGUUUAGUUUUGAGCUUUUCUUUAAUGCACUUUUCAGUUAACAAGUCAACAUCAAUUUCUUUUGCUGUAAAAAGCUUGAGGAAGGUGGCUUGAGAUUCGUCUUAAGUGUUUAUAGCCUCUUGCCUAUGCAGUCGGAGAGAUUGAGGUCUGCAGCGUAGAUCCUUCGGGGCUAAAUGCAUUUGUGCUAAGUUAUAACAUUUUAUAGACAACUUGUUGACUAUGAUUUGUCUUGUAGCUUACUCGCUUAUGUUAUUUUACCUACGCUUAGGAUGUUGACGCGCGUGUGUGCGUG
rnacentral:rRNA from 1 species